rnacentral:rRNA from 1 species
GAUGAACGCUGGCGGCGUGCUUAACACAUGCAAGUCGAACGAAGCAUUUACGACAGAUUUCUUCGGAUUGAAGUUGUUUAUGACUGAGUGGCGGACGGGUGAGUAACGCGUGGGUAACCUGCCUUGUACUGGGGGAUAGCAGCUGGAAACGGCUGGGAAUACCGCAUAAGCGCACAAUGUUUCAUGACAUGGUGUGAACAACGCCGGUGAUAUAGGAUGGUCCCGCGUCUGAUUAGCUAGUUGGUGAGAUAACAGCCCACCAAGGAGACGAUCAGUAGCCGACCUGAGAGGGUGACCGGCCACAUUGGGACUGAGACACGGCCCAGACUCCUACGGGAGGCAGCAGGGGGGAAUAUUGCACAAUGGAGGAAACUCUGAUGCAGCGACGCCGCGUGAGUGAAGAAGUAAUUCGUUAUGUAAAGCUCUAUCAGCAGGGAAGAUAGUGACGGUACCUGACUAAGAAGCUCCGGCUAAAUACGUGCCAGCAGCCGCCGUAA